GGGGAACAUCUAAAGGGGAGAUGUUACUUGAUACACACUUCCUACAUAAAACUCUGAACUGUUUGCUAGUUGUUCUGCGAAUUAGUUCUACAAGGCCCAUAUCACUGCCCACUUGA